rnacentral:rRNA from 1 species
CCUACGGGGUGCUGCAGUAGGGAAUCUUCCACAAUGGGCGCAAGCCUGAUGGAGCAACACCGCGUGAGUGAAGAAGGGCUUCGGCUCGUAAAGCUCUGUUGUUGAAGAAGAACGUGCAUGAGAGUAACUGUUCAUGCAGUGACGGUAUUCAACCAGAAAGUCACGGCUAACUACGUGCCAGCAGCCGCGGUAAUACGUAGGUGGCAAGCGUUAGCCGGAAUUAUUGGGCGUAAAGAGAGUGCAGGCGGUUUCUUAAGGCUGAUGUGAAAGCCUUCGGCUCAACCGAAGAAGUGCAUCGGAAACUGGGAGACUAGAGUACAGAAGAGGGCAGUGGAACUCCAUGUGUAGCGGUGGAAUGCGUAGAGAUAUGGAAGAACACCAGUGGCGAAGGCGGCUGCCUGGUCUGUAACUGACGCUGAGGCUCGAAAGCAUGGGUAGCGAACAGGAUUAGAUACCCGGGUAGUC